rnacentral:rRNA from 1 species
UACGUAGGGGGCAAGCGUUGUCCGGAUUUAUUGGGCGUAAAGAGCGUGUAGGCGGCCAGACAGGUCCGUUGUGAAAACUCGAGGCUCAACCUCGAGACGCCGAUGGAAACCGUCUGGCUAGAGUCCGGAAGAGGAGAGUGGAAUUCCUGGUGUAGCGGUGAAAUGCGCAGAUAUCAGGAAGAACACCCGUGGCUAAGGCGGCUCUCUAGUACGGUACUGACGCUGAGACGCGAAAAGCGUGGGGAGCGAACAGG